rfam:Otolemur garnettii contig087546, whole genome shotgun sequence.
GAGCCUGUGGCUCAAAGGAGUAGGGCACUGGCCUCAUAUGCCAGAGGUGGUGGGUUUAAACCCAGCCCUGGCCCA